rnacentral:rRNA from 1 species
GGAGGUAGUGACAAUAAAUCACAAUGCGGAACAAUGUUUUGCAAUUGGAUUGAGAACAACGUACAAACCUUAUCGAUAAACAAUUGGAGGGCAAGUCUGGUGCCAGCAGCCGCGGUAAUUCCAGCUCCAAUAGCGUAUAUUAACGUUGUUGAAGUUAAAAAGCUCGUAGUUGAAAUGAAGGGUAGUUGUGUAAUGAAUACAUUCGUGUAUUUUGUUAUUCUACUACCCUCCUUCUAAAUUCGAUAUAUGAGUAUUAAUUUACUUGUAUAUGGUUUUAGACGUUUACUGUGAGAAAAUUAGAGUGUUCAAAGCAGGCAUUUGCUUGAAUAUAUUAGCAUGGAAUAAUCAUGUAUGAUUUUCAUGAUGUAUUUGAUUGGUUUGGUUCAUGAGAAUAAGAUUAAAAGGGACAGUUGGGGGUAUUCAUAUUCAAUAGUCAGAGGUGAAAUUCUCGGAUUUAUGGAAGAUGAACAAGUGCGAAAGCA